rnacentral:rRNA from 1 species
AGCGAACGUUAGCGGCGGGCUUAACACAUGCAAGUCGAACGAGAAUGAGGGGGCAACUCCUCUAGUAAAGUGGCGGACGGGUGCGUAACACGUAGGUAAUCUACCUUCCGGCGGGGGACAACAGUCCGAAAGGACUGCUAAUACCGCGUACGUCGGCGGAGUCCCCGGACUCUGUCGGGAAAGAUGGCCUCCCCAUGGAAGCUACCCCCGGAAGAUGAGCCUGCGGCCCAUCAGCUAGUUGGUGAGGUAAUGGCUCACCAAGGCUAAGACGGGUAGCUGGUCUGAGAGGAUGAUCAGCCACACUGGGACUGCGACACGGCCCAGACUCCUACGGGAGGCAGCAGUGGGGAAUAUUGGGCAGUGGGCGAAAGCCUGACCCAGCCACGCCGCGUGAGUGAUGAAGGCCUUCGGGUCGUAAAGCUCUGUGGGGAGGGACGAACAAACUGGGCGCUAAUCACCCCGGUCCUGACGGUACCUCCUUAGCAAGCACCGGCUAACCCUGUGCCAGCCGCCGCCGUAGGAC